UACGGGGGGGGCAAGCGUUGUUCGGAAUUACUGGGCGUAAAGGGCUCGUAGGCGGCCAACUAAGUCGGAUGUGAAAUCCCCAGGCUUAACCUGGGAACUGCAUCCGAUACUGGAUGGCUUGAAUCCGGGAGAGGGAUGCGGAAUUCCAGGUGUAGCGGUGAAAUGCGUAGAUAUCUGGAGGAACACCGGUGGCGAAGGCGGCAUCCUGGACCGGCAUUGACGCUGAGGAGCGAAAGCGUGGGGAGCAAACGGG
rnacentral:rRNA from 1 species